rnacentral:rRNA from 1 species
GAUGAACGUUGGCGGCGUGCCUAAUACAUGCAAGUCGAGCGAACAGACGAGGAGCUUGCUCCUCUGACGUUAGCGGCGGACGGGUGAGUAACACGUGGAUAACCUACCUAUAAGACUGGGAUAACUUCGGGAAACCGGAGCUAAUACCGGAUAAUAUAUUGAACCGCAUGGUUCAAUAGUGAAAGACGGUUUUGCUGUCACUUAUAGAUGGAUCCGCGCCGCAUUAGCUAGUUUGUAAGGUAACGGCUUACCAAGGCAACGAUGCGUAGCCGACCUGAGAGGGUGAUCGGCCACACUGGAACUGAGACACGGUCCAGACUCCUACGGGAGGCAGCAGUAGGGAAUCUUCCGCAAUGGGCGAAAGCCUGACGGAGCAACGCCGCGUGAGUGAUGAAGGUCUUCGGAUCGUAAAACUCUGUUAUUAGGGAAGAACAAAUGUGUAAGUAACUAUGCACGUCUUGACGGUACCUAAUCAGAAAGCCACGGCUAACUACGUG